GUGAGGAAUAUUGGACAAUGGAUGGAAAUCUGAUCCAGCCAUGCCGCGUGCAGGAAGACGGCCCUAUGGGUUGUAAACUGCUUUUGUAUGGGAGCAAUAAGGGCUACGUGUAGCCUGAUGAGAGUACCAUACGAAUAAGGACCGGCUAACUCCGUGCCAGCAGCCGCGGUAAUACGGAGGGUCCGAGCGUUAUCCGGAUUUAUGGGGUUUAAAGGGUGCGUAGGCGGUUUUAUAAGUCAGCGGUGAAAUUUUCCGGCUCAACCGGGAUACUGCCGUUGAUACUGUAAGGCUAGGAUAUGGUUGCUGUGGGUGGAAUGUGUGGUGUAGCGGUGAAAUGCUUAGAGAUCACACAGAAUAUCGAUUGCGAAGGCAGCUCACAAAGCCAUUAUUGACGCUGAGGCACGAAAGUGUGGGGAUCAAACAGGAUUAGAAACCCCUGUAGUCC
rnacentral:rRNA from 1 species